GAUGAACGCUAGCGAUAGGCUUAACACAUGCAAGUCGAGGGGCAGCAUGGUCUUAGCUUGCUAAGACUGAUGGCGACCGGCGCACGGGUGCGUAACGCGUAUGCAACUUGCCUCACAGAGGGGGAUAACCCGUCGAAAGACGGACUAAUACCGCGUACACUUGGGAUAGGGCAUCCUGACCCAAGGAAAUGAAAUUCGCUGUGAGAUAGGCAUGCGUCCCAUUAGCUAGUUGGUGAGGUAACGGCUCACCAAGGCGACGAUGGGUAGGGGAACUGAGAGGUUAAACCCCCACACUGGUACUGAGACACGGACCAGACUCCUACGGGAGGCAGCAGUGAGGAAUAUUGGUCAAUGGGCGAGAGCCUGAACCAGCCAAGUCGCGUGAAGGAUGACUGUCUUAUGGAUUGUAAACUUCUUUUAUACGGGAAUAACAAGAGUCACGUGUGGCUCCCUGCAUGUACCGUAUGAAUAAGCAUCGGCUAACUCCGUG
rnacentral:rRNA from 1 species